rnacentral:lncRNA from 1 species
CCCUAGCGGCCGGCAAGGGGGAGAAACUGCUCGGUAGGGGUGGAGUUAUGAUGAGGAGGGGGGCUGCCUUGGGGAUCCGUGUGAACGCUGAAAGUGGCAUUGUCCGAGCUCCGAGGGCUUUUCCAACUCUCUGGUCCAACCCUGGGACCAUUUCGCAGAUGAGGAAACAAAGGCCCAGAGGAGGGCGUGGAGAGUGGGCCUAGGCAGAAAGAAGCAGAGCACAGACUAGAACUCAGCUGCCAAAGCUUCUGCUCCCCAAGAUCUGGACACCAGACGGAAGCAGCUUUGCCGAGGACCAACCGCGAAAGCUGUGAAGAGCGGAGGCAUGACAUUAGUGGAGAGAUCACUGCAGAGCUUCCCCAUUGCCAAGACUGCCGAUGCUCUUGGGACCAACCAGAUGAACGCAAUGGCACCCCACCCCAGCGCUGGUGAUCAAGUAUGUUCCAAAGCGAACCAAGAUGGUUUAACUGAAGCAAAGCCUCAAGAGAUGUUCCAGGGACCUUAAUGGCUGGCGGAACUGAAGUCCAAGGGUUCUGUUUUGUUGUUGUUUUUGAGACAAGCUCAUCAACACUGGCCUCAAAUUUACUUUGUAGCCAAGGGUUACUUUAAGCUUCUGUUCCUCCUGCCUCUACCCCACAAAUGCUGAGACUAUAGGUGUGAACCACCAUGCCUGGCUUCUUUGUUGCUGGGGAUUGAACCCAGGGCUUCAUGCAUGCUAGGCAAGCGUUGGGACAACUGAGCUGCAUCUUGCCCCAUCUUGAAUCAUCCAGUUCUCCAGAAAGAAGCCUGGAAUAAACCGAAUCCUGUCCUUGCUUCUGGUCAAGAGCUCCUCUGAAUAUUCCUGCCACUCACCACUCUAAAUCCCAGGGGGUUCUGCAUGUGACUGGAAGUGGCGUGCCUGCCUAGGGUGGGGGUUCUUAAACUCUGCAGUGGUGCUGAGAUGAGGGUUGCGUGAGGAGCUGCAUGGACCUUUCUCAGUUAGGGGAAGGCAGGCUUUUCGAGAGCCCUAUGGAGUUAAGCAACAGAAGUCUUAAGUGUACAGGAGUGUUCAGCUCAGUGCCUGUCCAGCAGAGAAGGGCACAUUGUGGACACUGGUCCUGGACAUACUGAGCUAAUGCUAGCCCGAGAG